rnacentral:rRNA from 1 species
UACAGAGGUGGCAAGCGUUGUUCGGAAUUACUGGGCGUAAAGGGCGCGUAGGCGGCCUUGUGAGUCGGACGUGAAAUCCCCAAGCUUAACUUGGGAACUGCGUCCGAUACUGCAAGGCUCGAGUUCGGGAGAGGAAUGUGGAAUUCCAGGUGUAGCGGUGAAAUGCGUAGAUAUCUGGAGGAACACCGGUGGCGAAGGCGGCAUUCUGGACCGAAACUGACGCUGAGGCGCGAAAGCCAGGGGAGCAAACGGG